GCUGCUUCUGGCCAAGUCCUCAUCUCCCUUUGAACUGGUUUGAACCGUUUAAUCAGUGGGCAGAAUGCAGGAGUCAGCAUACCAGUGAUCGAACGUUCGAAGGCAGAGUUGACGGGACAGAUGGCCUGAAGGGUGUUGCCUUUAGUCUCACUUGAAUACCAGUGUGCUUUCCUCUCUUUUGCUUGGUUGCACACUGCUUCUGAUUGUGUCUCCCCUGGGUCACCACACAACGCGCGACAAGCCCAUGCUAUAGAGCUCGUCUACUAUUCAACAACUUGCCAUUGAGCUGUUGGUUUUCGCGGGCUUUGGGGAGAAGAUGCGAUGGAGAUGAAGAGAGGAGACGCGCAUGAAGAGAUGCUGUAGGCUGGCUGACAGAGCGGACUCCUAGUGGGUAGGGCUCGGGACCCUGCGGGGGUCGAAGGAGGAUCAGCAAAGGAAAACCGUGAGCUCCAACGAAUUGCCGAAUUGUGCACAAACUGAUUAAAUAAA